rnacentral:rRNA from 1 species
AUUUGAGAUGGCCUCUCGCCCUAUUCAGUGUAACAGCUGUGGUAGUGGGUUUGGUCGCUCGCAUUUAAAUUGGAAGGGUAAUGGUGGACCGCACUUCUCCCUUAGUAGGACGUUGCGACCUGUCAAAUAAUAUCCUAAGUAUUUGGCUAAUUUGUCUGUUUUUAGGCAGUACUGAAAGGUAUUUCCUUUAACAGUUUUAGCCGUUUACAUACUGGAUAUAAUUGACAGUAACGAAUCAUGGUGUUGAGCCACUUACUUUGUAAGUGUCCUUUAUGGCUGUUUGCAAGUGGGUUGGUUAAUU